UUGCGAGCGAAGGUUUGCCUGCGACGCAAAAGGUUGCGGGUUCGAUUCCCGCCUCGGAAU
rnacentral:tRNA from 1 species